rnacentral:rRNA from 1 species
AUGAAUGGAGAGAUGGCGUCUGUGGCGGCGGGGAAGGAGAUGGCGCGGGCGUCCUACAUCCGGAUCAAGCACGAGGAGGAGCGGCGAGGGCCCGAGGGCCGGGUCUUCUCGGCCACACGGGCGCCGAUGUCGCCGCACGUCGACCAGAUCCUCGCCGGGCGCGCCUCCUUCGCCGACCUUGCUGCACAGCACUCCGGCUGCUCCUUCGCCCGCCGCGGCGGCAACCUAGGUAUGCCUCCACUUGCCCCACCUACGCGCUUAGCAGGCUUUCAUAUAGGGUCUCCGAUCAUGGCGAGCCGGAAGCACCAGCCCACGAAGAGCUCGACAGCGUGA